GACGAACGCUGGCGGCGUGCUUAACACAUGCAAGUCGAACGGUAAGGCUCCAGCUUGCUGGGGUACACGAGUGGCGAACGGGUGAGUAACACGUGGGUGACCUGCCCUGCACUUCGGGAUAAGCCUGGGAAACUGGGUCUAAUACCGGAUAGGACCGCACCGUGAGGGUGUGGUGGAAAGUUUUUUCGGUGUGGGAUGGGCCCGCGGCCUAUCAGCUUGUUGGUGGGGUAAUGGCCUACCAAGGCGGCGACGGGUAGCCGGCCUGAGAGGGUGGACGGCCACAUUGGGACUGAGACACGGCCCAGACUCCUACGGGAGGCAGCAGUGGGGAAUAUUGCACAAUGGGCGGAAGCCUGAUGCAGCGACGCCGCGUGGGGGAUGACGGCCUUCGGGUUGUAAACUCCUUUCACCAUCGACGAAGGGUUUCUGACGGUAGAUGGAGAAGAAGCACCGGCUAACUACGUGCCAGCAGCCGCGGUAAUACGUAGGGUGCGAGCGUUGUCCGGAAUUACUGGGCGUAAAGAGCUCGUAGGUGGUUUGUCGCGUCGUCUGUGAAAUUCCGGGGCUUAACUCCGGGCGUGCAGGCGAUACGGGCAUAACUUGAGUACUGUAGGGGAGACUGGAAUUCCUGGUGUAGCGGUGAAAUGCGCAGAUAUCAGGAGGAACACCGGUGGCGAAGGCGGGUCUCUGGGCAGUAACUGACGCUGAGGAGCGAAAGCAUGGGGAGCGAACAGGAUUAGAUACCCUGGUAGUCCAUGCCGUAAACGGUGGGCGCUAGGUGUGGGUUUCCUUCCACGGGAUCCGUGCCGUAGCUAACGCAUUAAGCGCCCCGCCUGGGGAGUACGGCCGCAAGGCUAAAACUCAAAGGAAUUGACGGGGGCCCGCACAAGCGGCGGAGCAUGUGGAUUAAUUCGAUGCAACGCGAAGAACCUUACCUGGGCUUGACAUAUACAGGAUCGCGCCAGAGAUGGUGUUUCCCUUGUGGCUUGUAUACAGGUGGUGCAUGGUUGUCGUCAGCUCGUGUCGUGAGAUGCUGGGUUAAGUCCCGCAACGAGCGCAACCCUUGUCUUAUGUUGCCAGCACGUUGUGGUGGGGACUCGUAAGAAACUGCCGGGGUUAACUCGGAGGAAGGUGGGGAUGACGUCAAAUCAUCAUGCCCCUUAUGUCCAGGGCUUCACACAUGCUACAAUGGUCGGUACAGUGGGUUGCCAGUCCGUGAGGGCGAGCUAAUCCCGCAAAGCCGGUCUCAGUUCGGAUCGGGGUCUGCAACUCGACCCCGUGAAGUCGGAGUCGCUAGUAAUCGCAGAUCAGCAACGCUGCGGUGAAUACGUUCCCGGGCCU
rnacentral:rRNA from 1 species